CUUCAUUUCUUGACUGGGUGCGAGAGAGCUCAGGGCUCUUCCUUGAAGAUGCUCCUAGUUCCUGCUCUUCUGGUUGUAAGAAAAGGUGAUUGUAGAGCAGAUCGUUGAGUCUCAUCCGGACGGCCUGAAGAUCAUGUAUGCUAAUAAGCUCCUGAAGUUCAUUCCUCACCACUGCCACCUUCUUUGAGAGGUCACAGGAGGAGCCAUCUCAAGGUGACGUAAACUGCUGUGUAUGCACCUGAGCUCAGUUUAGUGACCACCUGUCACCUCCUCAUGUGCCGCUGAUCCCUGGCUGUCCUGUCUGACCCGGGAACGUGUGCUCUUCCCUAUUUGUUACCAGUGCUGUGAGGCAGGUGUCGCUUGCCUGGGUUUACAGGGAAAGGGAAUGAAGAGUGGGGACGAAUCUCAACGGUGACAUUUGUGUGACUCCAGAGCCUCUGCUUUUCUCUUUUCUAUACUUUCUCCUUAACCAGGUUCAAAAUCAAAAUUGGUUUCCUUCCAUUAUUGUGAUGUCAUCAUCGGUCUAGAAAUACCAAUUCAUUUUAAUUCAACACGUUUUAUACUGAUGGCAAUUAAAGUCAUGUUCGGUUUUC